AAUGUCUUCUUUAAAAAAGUUAAAGAUGUUAUAACUAAAAAUAGCUUAGGAAUGGUCAUUAUAGGAGGAGACAUGAAUGACACCUUAACUAAUAUAGACAACAAGCAUAAUAUGUCAAAAAAGUCCUUUAAAGAAAAAAAAGCUGUACCCAGCUUAAAAUCUUUAAUAAAAAUGCAUAAGUUAAGUGAUAUAUGGCGAGAAAUACAUGGUAAAAAAAUACAAUUUACUUGGAGAAGGAAAAAUAACAUCAAUGAAGCAUCAAGAAUUGAUUUCUUUUUAACCUGUCCUGAAAUACGAACUCAAAUAGAAUCAACAGACAUAAGACCAGCCAUUAUAACCCAUACAGAUCAUCAAGCAAUAUCUCUUAUGAUAAACUGUAGAUCACAACAAAAAGG
rnacentral:lncRNA from 1 species